AAAGAAGUUGGAAGCUUGGGGGAGUAGGAUUCAGAGUAGGUUUAGGGAUGACAUUAAGAGGUGUAAGCAGAAGCUUGAGUUUAAUAGAGAAAGGGAGUUGCUUACGAAACUUCUCUUGCAAGAGGAAGCAUUUUGGAAACAACAAUCUAAGGUGGGCUUAAAAGUGGGGAUAUGAAUACAAAAUUCUUUUAGGGAGAAGGUGAUAAUUGUAAAUUGGCUGGAGAAUGAGGAGAGUAGAAGGAUAGAAACACAAGAGGACAUUUGUAACCUAACAUUUGAUUAUUUUGCAGGUUUAUUUGCUGAUGGGAAUGGAAACCAUGGUGUUGUUAUUGAUAAGGUUAGAAGUAUAAUUACUACUGAUGACAAUUUGAAGUUGGUGAGGCCCUUCAUGAAGUAAGAACUCAAGGAGGCCACUUUUGCAGAUACUACCAGAUGGAUUUAAUCUGGGAUUUUAUCACAGGUUUUGGGGCAUGUGUGGGGAGGAUGUUUUUCAGGCGUGUUGUAUGUGGCUUGCAGAGGGUGCGUUCCCUUCAUCAGUUAAUGAUACUACCAUUGCUAUCAUAUUGAAAUUUGAUAAUCCUAGAGGUGAUAGUUUUCUCUUCUAAAAUACAUCAAAGAGAAGCUAUGGCAGUGAAGCGAAUCCUGGAUGACUAUGUUGUUGCUUUUGGGCGAGUCAUCAAUCUGCAAAUAUCUGAGGUAACUUUCAGUAAGAAUGUGGACCAUAAUAUGAAGAAAAGGGUGAAAUCUACUUUGGGAGUGAGUGAAAGUAAUGGAGGAGGGAAGUAUCUGGGUUUUUCAGCUUGUGUAGGGAGGAGUAAAAAGGCCAUAUUUAAUUUUUUUAAGGAUAAAGUGUGGAAAAAAAAUUAAUUCCUGGAGUAGAAGGACUCUAUCUAUGGUUGCGAGGGAGGUUAUGGUGAAAACUAUCUGGUAAUCUAUACCUACCUAUUGUAUGAGCAUUUUUCUUAUACUUCAUACAAUGGGGUGAUGAGAUCCAAAGGAUGAUGAAUUCUUAUUGGUGGGGUUCACGUGAAGGGGAGUCAAGGGGGAUUAUUUGGUUAGCUUGGGAUAAGUUAUGUGUUUUAAAGGAGGAUGGAGGAUUGGGCUUUCAAAAUGUUUAUGCCUUCAAUUUGGCCAUGUUAGGAAAACAAGGGUGGCGAUUUAUAUCAAAUCCUACUGCUGUCAUUUCGUGUCUUCAAAGCUAAAUAUUUCCCAUAAGGGGAUUUUAUGGGUGUCACACUUGGUAGUAACCCAUCAUUCACUUGGCGGAGCAUAGUGUCUUCUAAAAUGGUCCUUACAUAAAGGGUAAGAUGGAAGUUGGGAAAUGGAGCCAAUGUUAAUAUAUAGAAUGAACCUUGGUUGAGAGAGGAGUGAAAUGCUUUUGUCAAAAUACCAAUCAUUGAAGGAUUGGAGGAUCUAAAGGUGGGAAGCUUGAUAUAUCUCGAGAAGCAAUGUUAGAAUUCGGUUGGUAAUGCUAUGAGGGGAAUCUAGAGGGCAAUGUUAGAUUCUACAGUUGGAAUGAAUUGUUCGAUCACAUGCUUAAGGUGUAUGCAUUCCCAACAUCCAGAGUUAACACUACACGUGAAAAAUGUCCUCUUGUGUUCUAUCCUUCUACUCUGCUCAUUCUCCAGCCAAUUUAUAUCUAUCACCUUCUUCGUAAAAGAAUUUUGUAUUCAUAUCCCCACUUUUAAGCCAAUGCACCUUAGAUGGUUGUUUCCAAAAUGCUUCCUCUUGCAAGAGAAGUUUCGUAAGCAACUCCCUUUCUCUAUUAAACUCCUCCACCUUAUCCAUCUCUUUAGCCCCUCUUAAUGCCUCAAGCUUCUGUUUACACCUCUUAAUGUCAUCCCUAAACCUACUCUGAAUACUCCUCCCCAAGCUUCCAACUUCUUGUGACAACUUUUAAUAAAACUAUUUUUAAAGGUCAUACCUAAAA